CGCCCCGUGCGCGUGCGCGCUGGCUCGCUCGCGAGGAGCGGCGGGGAGGGUGCGGAGGCCGCGUUCCGGAGCGCGCGGAGAGGCAGGGCGGUGCGCGCCGCGGGGGGCGGGCUCCACCUGCCUGCCGACAGAGGGAGGGCCGCCGAGGGAGGAUGUGAAACGGGAAGACCCGCUUCUGCGCCGGCGACUUGCCUUGUUUGCCUCCUCACAGACGACUCCUGCCCCUGACGCCGCCGCACCCGAGAGGCGGCGAACGGCUGCUCCCGCCGCUGCGGCCAGACGGGGUCGCCCGCCCCGCACCGGCCGGGCCGCCUGCCCGACGGGGUCGCCGGCGAUCCUGUUUCACGGGAAACGUGCGCGGCGUGGCGGAAGGGACUCCUCGCUCUGGGCUUUGGGCGAUAAAAGCGCGUGUACGUGUGUGUUAAAGCCCACAGACAGCGUAGCGACUUCUUGAUUCAUUCGGCAAAUACUGUGGAGCGCUGUGGCGUGCCAGGCUGUGCCAGGCUUAGACGACAGCCCUGAUCAGCGCCGACACCGCACCUGUCCUCGGGGAGCAUGCAGGACACCGCUACUCACCUCUAAAAAACACACCGCAUGUGAAUUUGCCGUAUUUUCUGGACUGUAAAAUGCUUUGUAUGCUAAGUCCAUAUAUCGAAUAGCUUUUCAGUGGUGGAGGAAGAAACUACCUUAAAGUCAUAUAAUCACCAUAUAUGCGGGGAAAGGUCCUGGUCAAAAUCAAAGAAAGUUAGUAACAGCUGGCAGAGAGAGAAGGGAACACAGCUUGCAAAGAGAUGGCCUCUGCCUGUGGCCUGAAAUCUAAACUGACUUAAUUCCAUAAUUUGGAGCCUUUAUGGGUUGAAGUGCUAACUAUGACCUUAACAGACAUGGAAGCCUGUAAAAAUAGCAGCUAAGAGGUGGUAGUCAUAGAUACUAUGGUUCUAAGCCUUUCUUAAACUCUUCUAAAGCAGACUGGGUGACCCAUCAGCAAAAACAGAUUAAGGUAGCACCUCCGCAGCAGAUUUAUUUCAGAUUGCAUCAAGGCAGGGCCGUUAAACUAAGGUGGGAAUGAUAUGGACAGAAUUCAGAGGCUAAUAGGUAAAAGACAAGAAUUUUCAGGCUUAAAAACCCUUUUGAGAGAAGAUCUUGGUCUGGUGCCUACUCAUACAUGGAAUUGCCUAGAAGAUCCAUGACAGCCAGGUGUGGUCUUUAAUCCCCUUCAGUUUGGACCUGAUCCUUUCAUUCAGGAGGCAUCUCCCUGGAGACUGAGUAGAUGGUAGGAGUCCCCUGGGGUGCUGUCAGCUCCACUCGCUGAACCUCUGGAGAAAGGCCAAAAUACUAGAUGGAUCCCUGUGGAAUGACAGUUGUCAUUGCAGGCAGACGAGACAAACAAGGAUUCUGAAAGAAAUCAGAAUGUGGGAAGAGCAACUUCUAAGCAAGUAUGCACAAAUGUUGGAAUGUGCUGCAAGGAAAAGCAGAGGGGCGGCCAAUGAGAUGGACACAGGCGUGGUCCGCAGCCAAUCACAUGGGCCUGGCAAUGAGGGAGGCACAGGCCUGGAGCCAGGGCUGCAAGGUCACCCUCCCACAUGUGGCCCUGCUGUCUGGAACAACCAGCCCGUGGGUCCCCUAGACUGCAGAAGUUAGGGUGCCACGCUUGAGACAGUUUGCUCUCCUGCUACAGGCUCUUCCAGGACACUUGGGGAGGCCCUCUCACUGGUCAUUUUUACAUGAUGGCUGCAUGAACAGAACAGCUGACCUCCUCCUCUCUCUUAAUUUGUGUGUCUGUCCUGGCUAUAAAGCUUCCAUCCACCAGACCAGUUCAGACUCUCUCCUCUUCAUUUAUUCUGGUUCUCUGUUUACCAACAUGAAAUUACCCUAAAUCUGUGACCUGCGCCUAACCAUCAAAAUAACUUGGUACCACAGACAACUAAUUCCCCAAAUAGCCAUUUCUGCUGUUGGAGAAUGAAAGAACCUCUACCGUUACUUAAUUCAGUUGGCCCCCAGCUAGGCUACAACGCUGAAUCAGCUGCACGGCUUUCCUGGGCCCCACCCUUGGAAAUCGCAAUUCAGUAGGUCGUGGUGGGGCCUGGAAUCUGAAUUUUAACACAUCACCCAGCUGGUUUUCACCCAGGCUUGGGAAUGCUGAUGUAAUCUCUCCCCUCAUCUUAUAAAUGAGGACCCUGAGGCCAAGCCCUUGGCCACCUGGCCCAAGGUCAUGUUGCUCUUGGGAAUAACAGCACUUCCUUAACAUUUCUCACGGUAGGUACCUUAUUUCAGGUGUCACCCCAAUAAACCACGAGGCUGCUGUUAUUACAGGAUCAUCCCCAGUUUAAGAGGAAGGAGAGCAGCUGUGGGACAGGCUCGGUUUGCCGGUUGCUGCUGAGUGCUGCCUUUCGUGCUUACGGACUGUCAGAAAAGGAAACAGGGAAACAGCCUCCAGACAACAGCUACUCAAUUCUCAGUUCGCAGGUAAAGCCAGAGCUCCAUUCUCAGGACGCGGCCCGGGCCCUCCUGGCUCAGCAGCAUUGAGGGAGCUGUCUUCUGCUCUGGCUGGAAUCCUCGUACCCUGGCUGAUGCCUCUGCAGUGAGAGCUUCCGGGCCCCCUCACAUCAAGAAUAGGAACAUGUGCCACAUUUGUAUUGUUUUUAAUUAAUGCAUUUUGACUGAAAAAUUAAUAGUGCACAUAAUAAAAAAUCCAAUAAAAAUUCA
ensembl:lncRNA